rfam:Nomascus leucogenys chromosome 22a, whole genome shotgun sequence.
GUCUAUGACCAUACCACCCUGAGCGCACCCCAUCUUCUCUGAUCUCGGAAGCUCAGCAAGGUCGGGCCUGGUUAGUACUUGGAUGGGAGAAUAGGGAAGCCUUUCCAGGCAGAGGGA